rnacentral:rRNA from 1 species
AUGUUUACUUUUCAUCAGAAAUCAGGUCACAAGAAAGCUCUGGAUGAUGGUCCAUGGAUGUUUGGGAACUCAUUACUAGUGCUGGAGGAGUAUGAUCCUAAUAAGAGUAUAAAGGAAUAUGAAUUUAAGAGGUUUCUGGUCUGGGUCUGAGUCUUUGAUCUGCCUUUGGGGCUAAUGUGCCAUGAUGCUGGACUUGCCAUCGGAGAUAUAAUUGAUGAAGCUCUAAAGGUUGAUGCCAGGUCUAACGGUAUGGCAGUGGGCAAGUUCUUAAGGAUCAAAAUUCACAUGGACAUUUCUAAUCCAAUAAUGAGGGGCUUUGUCCUUGACAUGGACGAUGAGAAGGAGAAGGGAGAGAAGCCCCUAACUGAGGAGGAACGAAAUAAGAGGAUGGAGGACAAUUGGUGCCGUUUUGAAUAUGAGUUCAUGCCAGGUUUUUGCUACACAUGUGGGAUGCUCGAUCACGUGGGUAAGGAAUGUUCCAUAAGGCUCAAGAGGGGAGAGGAGAAGCAAUUCGGUCCUUGGCUCAAGGCACAUAUACCUAGGUAUACAAAUGAUAAUGGUAGGGGUAGCUGGAACGAAGACCACAGCAUGUUCUCUGGGCAUAGUAGUGGAAGCGGAAGGAACCUCAACCUGGGCUAUACAAAGGGGAAAUCAGGGAGCGAUAGCGAGAACCGGGGGAAGGACAAACUGGGUGUAGGGCAUCAGCCUACGUAUAAAGUAAGUCAUGACCAGGAGGUGACUAGUCCCUUAAAAAAGCAAAAUAGAGGCACAAGCAGAAGAAGGGAAGAUCAUGGCAGAAGGAAGAGAGGGACUGGAUGA